ensembl:lncRNA
UGCUCUUAUUGCAUUGAAAGAAGAAGCUGCUGCAGUAGAACUAUAUAUUGUUCAUACUGGUUUUUGUUCCUCGUGUUGUAACACAUUUUGUCAAACAAUUCACUCAAACUCCAACCUCGAUCCCAAAAAGCGCGCUCAGAUCACUGUUAUGCUGAUUUAUUUAAAUUACAAUUUGACGCAGGGUAAUCACAUUGCAAUUUUAUGCCUGGCAUAUUUGAAGAUAAUGACAUUGUUACCAAUAAUAUAACUACAUCUCAUUUAAAUGAUAAUUUUGUGUCAUUGUGUAGUUUUUUCUCAGCAUGCAGGGAGCCGGGACAAGCAAACGUGGGUCAUUUGAAUUUAGGCAUUUAAAUGACAAAGAAUGCUCACCCUGGGACGACGCAAACGUCUUUAUUCAGUUUUGCCUGAUUUAAGCCUAAAGUCUUUCAUCAGCUCUCGUCUUGAUGAACGACGGAGCAGCUCGGGCGGACUCUGCUGUAUGCCGUCACACAAAGUGACAAAUGGCUUGAUGAAACUGUGGAGAACACACACAAUAAGGAUGGCGUGUUAGUUCAUACUGUAUGCUGGAGGAGACAGUUUUCUUUUUUGUCAUAUUUGAAAUAUGGGUGUCCUGCACAGCAGUUUUCCUCAUCGAUCAAUAUGGAAGCUUUCCUGUAAUAUAAUGUUGCAGGUUUUAAUCAAAUAAACUGUUAUGAGCCCAACAUUGGACACGUUUUAGCCGUUUCUGGCAUUUGAUUGUUUUUCAUGUCAGUCCUGCCUUUAAUGGAAUUUAUACCUGAGAUAUAUUUCAUUUCGUCCUCAUUAAACAUCAAGAUAAAAGCUUUUCAACUAAAGACACAAAGGAAAAAGGAUAGGAUGCACACAUAACCAAUCGAUUCAACUUGAUGGUCAGCACAUUGCAUUUAACAAUGAGCCAUCACAGAUGAUUGGAGAGAAGAUUCUCAGAGUAGACAUUCUUCAGGGCUGAGUCUUGUGUCGAUCAUCAUUUUUAGGGAAUACAAAAGUGACUGGUGGAACGGUUUAAAGGAGGGCUUUCUUUACACUAAAUGUCAAAUGAAACGAGAACUUUGACCCGUCUCCUCCACUGUAAACACAUGCACAUUACAUAUUGUAAUUACUUGGGGUUGUUGGUGUGUGUACGACACAAGGUUAAGACCAACUCCUUCCCAUUUCACACUUACGUACUGACCCUUACAGUAAAGCAACUGAGCGGCCUUACGUGUCGGAUUGGUUGCAAAAAGAUGGCGGCGGUACGACGGGAUGGCAGCGGUCAAGGUAACAGACCUAAUGGCAUUGCACAAAGCAAUCCGGAACGUCAUGGUGACCGUGUCUACUUCCUGUAAGCGCUGUUUUAUUGCUGUAUGUAUCUGUUGGCAAAUGGACAAAAACACCCUGCUGCAUAUUUUAUCAAUGAGUCAUUUUAAAGGCGUAUGUUAAAAAAAGUCACCGUAUAGUACAUUUGUUUUUUUGGUCAGAUUAAGAAAUAAAGGGAUUUUUUAAAUAUCUUAUUACUUGCAGACAAUAUGGUUGUCAUCAGCGUUACAGCAUUUAUGCAUCUGUCCUCCAAUAUCAUACCCCUUUGUAAUGUUUUUGCUCCUGAGAGACAAACUUUGAUGCUUUUUAAUGCUUUCAAAAAUCUAAAUUUUCUACGGCAGCCAUUCUUGUUUUCUCCAAAACCUUUUGACCACCGCAUUUCCAAAACACACAAACAGACCGACAACAUUUUGAAACAAGACAUUUAAUAAUAAUAAAAACAAACACGCAGAUGUUGUGGAUGUGUUUGUGUUCUCUCUCUGCCACAGCCGCUCUCCAAAUGAAAUGCUCGCCAGGAGGCUUAAGUCAACUCAGCUGGAGGCACAGAUGCUUUCCGUUCCCUUCGACGCAGUCACCAAUGCAGGGAGCAGCAAACCCUCCGUGAAGUCCAAUUUCAAAAUGAAGAGCUGUGAUUCCAGCUCAGGCUCUGGCUCGCUGGGAGAGAAACUCUUUGGUUGUUACGCUACACAAAAACCUGAGCAGAACCCAUGUGGUAGAAACUUUCCCCUCAGUCAUUCUGUCCCUUGUGUUUAGUGUACAAUACAAAUCAAAUCUGAUGACAGGUACAAUGUCUGCUAGAGUGACACAUAAUCAGAAGCAUAAUUGCAUUACUGCCCCAAGAUGAGGCAUGAAUCAAAACAAUAUUUUUCUAAAAAGGCUAGAAGACGGGUGCAUUUACUAGAUAAUCACUGCCUGCAGGUUGAAUGAAAUUGGGUUAAUUAGAAGGGCACCGGAGAACGGGAAUAACACUGAACUUCCGAAUACAUGACGUGUUGUUCAAGUUGAGCAAAAUGGAAUUCUCUUUGGAUUCUGAAAUGUGGGUUCGGGAGGUUAUUUCUUCUUUUGGGAUUUGUUUGAUUCAGAGCUUCAAAAGAAAAGACACAAAAUAUUAGACAGCUAAUUUUCUGCAUGGACAUGAGUAAGUAACAGUUAUUUCCUUUGACAAAUCUUUUGUUGUAAGUAAGUAAACAGGUCUGACCUGGGAGGUUUUGCGGAUGUGGUUCUGCACCAGUUGUACAAAGAAAACCAUAAUAUAAUUACCAAGGUUUAGCUUAACCAUGUUUUGACAGUUACAUUUAUUACACCUGUAUAACAUUGCUUAGCUGCAUAGCUGAAAUGACAGCUGACAGCUACAACGGAGAGAACCGCUGGCUUGUUGCUGACAACAUGUGAUUGGUUUAGAGACACGGUGCCGAAUCUGGUUGGUUGGUUGUUUGAACAAUAUCCGCUGCCAGCGUAAAGCUGGGAUACAAUGAUGCAACUUUACCCAAAAUGAUCUUUGAAAAAGCAAACAUACUGUAAUAUAUGAAUAGGACAUGCAUUUAUUGUGAAUGCAUUAACAAUGGGAGGAUGAAAACGUCCCACUGUCCUGAGGACAAAAAGUAGUAAACAAUGCUUUGGAGAGAUCACGUCUACUUUUACCAGAACCAGAGCGCUCGGCCUCCCCACAGUGUCAUUUUUCAUUUUUCUUAUCUCCUGCACCUUGAAGGCUGCCACAGAGGAGAAGUGUGCAGCGCUGUGCUCCAGGAAGGCUUCAGUGGCCCCCAGAGGAAGAAGUCUUCGUUUAGUAUUGAACAGUCCAGUAACCACGUCUUUGAGCUCUGUCUGAGGCCACUGCCUCCUCUCUCAAACUUCCAAUUGCCAGUUUUGCUGCGGGCGGAGGGGAGCGAUGCCGCGCAUCUUUACAGUAUCUCGGCGGAUAUCAAUGUUUUUUCUCUCGACAGUGUCUCGGCUUUGAAUUGCUUGCUCAAAAAUGUCACAAAAUUGAAAUUCUCGACAAUCUGUUGACAGUCGAUUCGAGGGGAAAUAGCGAAAAAGAAAAUGAACGGUAGUAAGAUUUGUCAGGGCUGUUUAGUGUUUGUGUGCAGCUGACACUGGGGAAAUGGGAAACGCCUUAUUUGCUGCGGGGAGGGAUUUUGCUUUUGCUGACAAUUUUCACAGUUGUGCCCAUCUAAGUAAAGCCUUAAACACUUGAUGAAAGCAGAAAAAAGGCAAUUGCUGUCAUCUGCAAAAUGGGAUUUGUGAUCUAUCGGCAGCGCUUUCUUAUCCACUGUGUCUGACUUAGAGUACACGUCUGGCAACGCAGCGUGUUUUAAUCGCAGCAUGAACUCCACAUAUUUUGAUCCUGUAAGAGCGCUGAUCGUCUUUGACAGUUUUUCCACAGUGGAAGUGUAAUGCAGCCUUUCUACCGCUUUUCUGUGCUGUGAGAAGCCCCGGUGGCUCCCUGCAUUUCAGCGCGUCAGCUCAAGGCCUGUUGGCGCUGGCAGAGGGUAAAGGACAGACGGACAGACAGAGGAUCAAAGACAUUCAGCCUAAAUUCACACCAGUCAAUUUGUGCACUCUGAAAUGUGUACUUAUUUUUCACUUUUCUAGACAUGUUAAGAGUAUGACACAUUGCCAAGUCUUUGCAAUAAGCCAUUUCAUGUCAUGUGUCGUAUGGAAAAUACAUAGAAAGGAUUUACAUUGUCAUUGUAGUUUGAUGACUUGUGUGCAAACAACACACUUAAACUCGACUUCCUGUGCAGCAGUUGUUUCCCCAGGAAAUUAGUAGGAUGUUACAACAAUGAAUGGAAAACCUUUUGUGCUUAAUCCCUGCUGUUAUGUGCCAUCCAGCAGUGAAACAACAACAACAACACAAGCCCUGGCUUGAUGAACAGGGAACUGCUCGGCCUCUGAGCUGAGAGACCUCGUAUUCAGUGUGCACACAACCAGAACGUCAAUGACCUUGACCCCGUUCGGCAAAAUGUUACUCAUCACUCAUAGUGCCAGUGGUGGUGGUCACAGAGCUCUCUGCUUCUGAGUCACUCCGUGAGGAUUGUCACAUAUCCUGUAUUUCUGCAUUAUUGCCGUAGUUUUAGAAGCAAUACAGACGGUAAACGGGAGGAUAUUUUAGAUUUCUCAUCAGAUUUAUUUUUAUGCAUCGCUUUAAAGCAUUUGCAGCAUCAUUUAAUACCUGCACACACAUUUAUGUGGGACGAAAGCGGUCUCAUUUUGUGGUGGUGGGAGAGCCUGGAUUGCAAAUUAAGGGUUUAGUGGAGCACAAAGUUUGCAAAGGCCGGUUUUAUGUAAGGUUUUAUUGAUCGGGUUUUAUUAUGUCUCUCCUGUAUAUGUUGCCUCCUCUGCCCCCACAGUGGAUAUUUUGUACUUUAGUUCACUAAAUGCAUCAGGCUGGAGGUUUGCUUCAUUUAUUGUUGUCUUUUUAAAGCUCAGUUGGGCUUAAUUAUUCCAAAUGUUGGCCCAUAGCCCAGAACCUCUGCCAGGUAAAGAUUAUUUUUGAACACGGACUCUUUCCUGCCUGCAAUUUGAGCAUGAAAAUGUUUACCAGAGAUAGCUUGUGAUCACAGAUAUCCACACAGUGAGCCGGCGUCGGGUAGCAUCGUCUUGUCCAAGCAGCAGAGGCCGGGAGACGCUUGGAGCCCAGAAGAGUCUUGACUCGACAGGAAAGUGCAGCAGACGGGGAUGGAAGCUGUCUGAUCAACAGAUGACAUCAUAAAUAAAGAGGAGCAAACUUUGCAUUUGACAUGAUGCUUCGUUUGGUUUGUGCUAACUGGUGCUGCAGGAAGGUCGACCAACAAAGUGUCACACUAGUUCCCUCAACAAAAAGCCGUAGAGAUAUUUCCAUUGGACUUGUUUUUAUAUUAUUCCAUCAAAUGAAAAUGUGUAUUUGUAUUUUUUUUUUCAUCGAGAUCUGAAGAUAUUUUGAACUUUGAGUACAAAUGCUUGAAGUAAUGAGUUCCCAGAACUUCACGUCACCGCCGGUGAGAUAAAGGGAGCAAGCACAUUCGGUAAGCUACUGCUUUUUUAAUCAUUUUUAAAUACAAGAGUGGGAUCAAGUCACAUUUCCACAAGCAAACACAUUUAAGGUCCCUUCGCUGAUAAGAUUAUCAGUUUGAUUUCUCAAUUUUGAUGCAGAAGCAGUAACAAUAUGUCGUUUUGAAGUAAUCGGAAAAAGUAAAACGAUUUCUCCCUCAAGUCAAAAGCUGAAAACAGCUUAUAUGAUGUCCAAGAAACGGAACACAAACCAGUUUCUUUAGCUUCCAUGACCUAAAGCCCUGAAAUGCACUAAAGAUGGAAUUAUGGGACCAUUGCAGGAGCACAUGAAUGCAGACGCCGACUCUUUGAUAGCGACUGCUGAAGUAAUUUGACAGACAAAAGAAUACAGUAACUUCACAUCUUUAUAUCUUUUAAUUCCUGCAUUUUAUUUCACUUUAUUGUAUGACAUGUUAUGAUGUGAAUCACUUUGACUCUGCCUUGUGUAUGAAAAGCGCUAUACAAAUGAAAUUGCCUUGCCUACAUCCUUGACAUGCAAAGACUCUGCAAACCGCUGACAGGGUGUUCAGUCAUAAGUUACUUCAGACUUUAACAGAUUGUUUUCAACUUGCACCAUUUCACUCCUCUCGAUUUAAAACUACAGAACUAACGGCAAUUGUAUUUGACCAUUAACUUCUCAAAACGCCAUCUGAGUAAAAUAAAAUGCUAUUCUGUAGUAAAGUUAAAAUUCAUUUUUAUAUAGUGUGAAACAAAAACAGUCCGAGCCCACGAGAAAAUUGUGCUUCUUCCCGGUUUAAGAUGAGUAGCAGAGGCCCCCCCAUCCUGAGCCACAGCAAACAUCUGGUCUUUUCCAUUUUUCUGCAAUUGGAUCCUUUUUAAUUGGAAUUUUAAAUAAUUUAAUAUAAAGAACUCAUCAAACAGAGAAAAACGUGUGAUUGUGAAGUCAUAAUGAACACAUUGAAUUACUAUAUUGUUAAACUUGGAAUGAUGGAAUUAAGUACCCGUGAGAUUUGACAAAGAAGUUCCCCUCUGGGGCUUGUGGUAAAAAUAUAUACAUGUGGUCACGGAUGCAUGAAACUGGUGCUGGAAGUAGAAUUUGUUUUUAACAACCUCCUAUGGGAUUUGUCUUAUUAACACAAAAAGGCAAGAAGUGAAGUGAAAUAGAAUGAGGAGGGUUAAACCAGGAUGAAAGACACAAAAGUUGACCUUUUAAGAGCAGAAAACACUGACCUCUAUUUGUAUUACUAUGAUAGCAAUGUGUUGGAAUUGAUGGGGGUUAGUCUCAUUAAUGUUGCAUUGGCACAUUCAUAAUUAACAAGGCCAAAGAAAAGACUGACAUCGUGCUAACCUAUACAGUGAUUGUAACUCAUUGUAUUUUAAAUCUAUUUUUUAUAGUCACAGAUUUACAUCAGUAGCAGAAUUAACCUUAAAGCUGCUACUUAUAAUUUGAAUUGCAAAGAAUUAUGACGAGACUUUACAACAAUUGGUUAUGAUGUAAUUCAAUCGCUGAUAUUUUUGUUCACACUGGGACCAAAUUGGCAUCAGACUAUCAAGCUGUAACAGAAAUUGAUAGCAUGUAAUUCAGCAGUAUGAAGUAUUGAGGCCCUUAAAAUAUAAAAAGUAUUGUGAAACUACUGUGACUUCACUUGGUUCAACUGCUGGUGUUUAGCAAAAUAAGAGAUGCUGCUUUGACAAAUGUGAAUGAUAAUCUUUUUCGGCAGGAGACAAAUGACUGUGCCUACCAGGCUUUAAUUAGCUUUUUAUUUCAUUAAACUAAAUAGCACCAAUUUCAUUUGAGUAUUUAUUCUGGAUCAAACUAAAACCUUUUGUGCAAAAGGAAAGAUGAUCGAGCCAGAAUCAGAGGAUAACACAACAUCAUCGACGAAGGAAAGGGAGAACUUCUGGAGAAGGUCAAACCGGGGGAAGCGUAGACCCACUGGAGGCCUGAGAGAAGACAGGAUCACUGGGACCUCGCAGGGCCAUUGAAGGCCAAUCGGUCCAGCCGACAAGACCACCGAGGAUUUGACCCCCGGAGACAAUGGACGCACAAGGAGUCCCAGUCCCACAAAAUAACUCCAACCCUGUAGGAGCACCUAAAAGGACGGGUCAAACUGAGAUGGUUCUUUGGUUCUGAUGCCACAGAGAAACAACAGAGCCGGCGUGGAAACCGGAGAGGCGGAGGAACGGAAUGAGGAUGUUGUUGUUUGUUUACAGAGAUUACAUGUUGAAUUUAUAUUUGACUGCUUAAAGUAAAGACUGACACAAUUUGUAAUCUGCAGUCACACAGGAGGCUCCAGUCACUAAGACAAUAAGGCCCGCUGUGGAGGGAGACACAGUGUGGACAGGGCACUGACAGACGCAGGCAACGUUCUUUAUAGCAACUGUCACACCGGUUUCUUCAUCUAUGUCUUCUUCACACAGAUUACAUCUUGAAUUUCGAUUUCUUUGUAUCAAAGAGAUUGAAAGAAUGUACAAAGUGUGAAGCCGCCUGAAGAGCAAGUCGACAAAUGGCACAUUGGGGACAAGGCGCUGACAGAUGCAGGUACCUUAUUUCAGACCAACACAGAAACGCUUUGGACCCUUUUCACAGACUAUAUUCAGAUCUGACAUGGAAUAAAGUACAAAUUGUGAUAGAGCAAAUUAUAUAUACAUUAUAAGAAAGUUACACUUUUCACUCAACUCUUUUACAUAAAAUGAACUUAUUUUCAGAACCAUCAAAUGGUCUAAACUGGAGUGUCUAAAGGCUCUGCAGAGGCUGGUACCGGGGGCAGAGACUCCCACACAGCCGCUCCGUCUUAGACCAAACUGCCUGCUGCUCAAUGUUUGUUUUCAUUUUUUGGGGGGAUUCAUGUUAUUAAAAGUGUCAUCUGUGCUUUCGAUGGUUACACACUUUAACCUCCAGGACGAUGCUUUUUGAAUUGCCUCAAAAAAGGACGGUUUCUACCUUUUUUAAGGAGCACAUGCACAGACUGGCUGUCAAAACACAACACUUACUAGCACAUCAUGUACGCUGGACUUUUGCACAUGGCAUGAAAAGCUCAUUUUCAUGCAGAAAAUCGGUAUGAGAGGUGUGCAUGGAAAUGAUGUGUUUAGGUUUUGAAUAUGUUGUGACUGCAUCAUGAAACCCCCAUCAGAGUGAUGCUGCCACUGCUUUUCUGCUUGAAUGUGUGAAACUGAUGGUGAACAGUUGCUGUUCACUGAGAUAUUAUUGUAAAAAGGUGACAUGUAAUUUACCUGAAUUUACAAAACAGCCCAAAAAACAAAGCUGCUUUACUAAAGACCAAACGAGUUAAGCUCAAUGUUUUAUGUCAUUUAAACUAAACUGUUUGUUUGAAUUGUAAUGAAAAUAAAUUGCAAGAAAAGGACAAACCGUUUCAUUAAAAGCAAAAUUGAUGUAAUUAUCCCUCACUGCACAGGUAAACUGUGUGAUUGAACAACUAAUGCAAUGCACCACUUAAAUGAUCAAAAUAACAGCAUAAUUACAAGCUCCAAAUGGGACCUCUUUCAUUAUCUUAGUUGUAUCUAAAACGGCGGAACAUUCAGCCACUGGCAGUUUAUAUCCAGAUUAAAUCCCCAAAUGAACCUUGAAUCAGGAACAUUUAUUACCAAAAUAUGUCAGACAUACGAGGAAUUUGACUUGGCGGUUGGUGCAUAACAUCAGACAGUGAGACAACAUAGUGCAAGAAGUCAUUUUUAACUUUUUAUUUUUGAUGUAAAAGUACCCCAGCGAGAGUGUGUAAAACGGGGGUCAGUCAGUCAGGGGGGGGCGGGCUCUGUUGAUGAGCCGAUGGGAAGAAGCUGUUUGUGUGGCGGGAGGUCUUAGUCCUGAUGGACCUCACACUCCUGCCAGGUGGAAGGGGCACAAAGCCAUCCGCCGCGGUGAGAGGGGUCGGCUACGACCUUUUUAGCUCUCUUCAGGGUUCUGGAAGCAAACAAGUCCUGGAGAGAUGGCAGGUCUGACAUGUUUCCCCAGCUUCACGUGCUGCUUCCUGUCAGACAGGAAGUCUGUGAUCCACUUGCAGGUGGAGUCGGAACGUGCAGCUGGGAGAGUUUGUCCUGCAGCAGAGACGGGAUGACGGUGUUGAAAGCAGAGCUGAAGUCCACAAACAGGAUCCUGGCGUAGGUUCCUGGGGAGUCCAGAUGCUGGAGGAUGAAGUGGAGGGCCAUGUUGACAGCAUUUUCUACAGACCUGUUGGCUUUAUAGGGGAACUGCAGGGGGUCCAGGAGGGUCUUCAGGUGGGACACGACUAGCCGUUGAUAAGAGGUCAGGGCGACGGCCGUUGUUGGUGUAUUUUUAGUUUGCGUGUAUAGGAUUUCUGCUGUGGUGAUUUAAAUUGCCAAUUUAGCUUCUUUAUCUGCAGGGAGUCUACAGUUAGUGUAACGGCUAACCAUCUCGGAAUAUGCAUCAGGCACAUUUGGCUUACCUGUGGAUGAAAAAUGAAUAAACAGUUAAUAAACCUGUGGCGUGUUAUGUCACAUUUGAGAUCGAGUGACUAAUAAUAAUGGGAGACUCAGAACUAAUUAUGCAACAUAAAGAAGUUAUUUUUCCGAGUAUAUUUACCGUGUAUUGUAGAAGAAAGAAAUCUCAUCUUCGACAGUUUCUGUGUGUUUCCCCGUCGCAGUAGGUUGACUUCUAUUUGUGCAAUCUCGAUGACAAACGUUGUCAUUUGGAGAUUUUGAAGUUGGUCGGGAAGCUGUGUAAUAAAAGUAAGUGCUGUGCGGCGUGCAUUUCAAUAAACACUUUUAAAGCAUUAUUAGCACCCUCAUUACACAGCACAUACACAAGUCGCAGCUCCAUCAAGUUAAACUCGUAUGAUUUGACCUCCUCAUGUCAACAUCAGCCGUGUGCGCUUAAUGCAACAAGUGAUAACCGAAAGAAAUCACUGAAUUUAGGUGAUAUCUGAGCAUGCAGUCCUCACAGACAGACAAUCCCCUUCCAUCUUGUUGCAGUCCAUCCAUCUAGGAGCAAAACAGUCUUCACUUAUAGGGCUGCAAGAAGCCGGGCCCAAGGUGAUUUCUCACAGUUUGAGACACUCUGACCCUCAUCAAUGAUUUGUGGCUGCUACACGGGCCGCCGCUUCCCUUCCUCGCCGCCUCCUCGCCCCCUGCUUGGUUUGGAGGCGGCUGAAGGUUCUUUCCGAGGUGGGGACGGCAGUUUAGAGGCGGGCUGCGCGGCCACGACGGGGAUAAAUGAGACAGGCACAGGUAAUGAGAUCACAAAGCUUGUAUCCGGGAGAAGGAUUACAAAGUGCGGGACACGGCGCAUCUGCACGUACCAGCCCGGCUUACACUCCCAACCGCGGCCGGCUUCGGACGCGCCAGCUGAGCGGCUUCAUUGGCGGCGCCGGGGGCUCCCGCUAUCUUUGUGGCAUCGGGUUCAUGGCGAGAGAAGACAUCUGCCUCCCGAGCCGUCUUCCGUUUUUUCUUCUGCAUGGGGGUUUUACAUGAAACGUGUGUGCGGAGCCAAAAGAAAAAAUAUUUUCCAGUUAACUCAAUUACAGGAGUUAAAGAUGUCAACCUUUGGCAACACGUGUAUCUGAAUGGUUGUUUCGAAAAGAAUUUGCCGAAUCUCUAAAAUUGGACACCAAUAUUGUAUAUCAUGGCGAGGCCAGAUGAUGAAUGAUUAUGUGCAGAGACAGUGGCCAUGACCUUUACAUAUUGCAUCAUCAACACAUUAAUAAUGCAUGGCGUAGCACUUUGCUGUGUGCCAUUACUGUGUUUCAUGUUGUGUGAGUUGAAAAACAACAACAGUUCAUUCCCCUCCUUUUGCUUGCCUGCUUUGUCUGUCAAGCAGACCUAAAGGGCCUGUUUAAAAAUGAAUGAGCAGUGCUUACACUGUAAAUAACUGCUGGUAAUGCACCGUAGGUUAUUUGAAAUGUAAAACCUGCUGUCAGGCUUUGAUUAUCUAUGUAUCUGCCUUGAGCGCGGAAGCAGUGUUCCAUGCAGCGUGGUCGCUGGCUGACUUAUUAAGGCUCGCUGUCAUUUGUGAGAGUAACGUGGUAACUGCAGCAGCUUUUUUGAGGGCAUUUCACGUACAAUGUGAUGUUCUAAUUCCAAAGAGGUUGUCAUUUUUCCCGAGGGUUUACUUGUGCAACACUGCUGACAAUAUGUCGUGGAGGCGGAUUGUUUCUAAGGAACAUCCAUUGCAUAAUUUCGCAGAAGAAGACAUUAAAACAAUUCAUUCAUUUUAAUUGUUAUUAUAGGCAGAUGCGUUUCGCAGUAAAUUAGUAGGUGCGGGGAUGCACAAAUAGCUUCAGGACCAUGUGAUCAAUCAGGUUGGCAUUCUUCGUUAGUUCUGUUCUGGAUUUACCCUUAAACAAGCCCGACCUUGUGUCUUUGUAAUUGUGUCUAGCUACUGAUACCAGCUCCUAUGCCGGAGAAUUGUGUUGCUAUAAUUUGGAUCCCUAGUCUCCGAUUCACCCUUAUUCUAUGUUGAACAGGAGGUCUAUUUUUUGCCCCAUAUAAGUUUUUCAUAUGCAGACAUUCAUGCUCAGGGGACAAAUUCAGCACAGCGCCAUCCCACUGUUACUUUACAGCCGCGGACGACGUGAGGGAAAAGAGUUAAAAAAGAAACUUACUUUAGAAAAAGUGUCCCACUUCACUCCGACAUGUAGUCGUGUUGCACGAUUGGGUUACUUUGGAUUCAUAAAAAUAAAAAAAACAUUGACCAUUGCUGAGCUUUUCAGAGCUCAACCGCACCUCAAUGCCCCCAAUGCCCCCCGUGAAUUUAAUUUCAUCCAGUUUCAACAUUUCACCAGCGGCCACAAUUGACCCAACACAGAACAAAAUGAAUAAGCUCUGGUGGCACCUGAUUAUCAACCUGCUAGAUGAGUCCGGGCUCUGCCUCCCUCCUGUUCCGAACAGAAGAAAAAGCGAGGCGUGCUCCAGGCGGCCGUGCCCUUUGGAAGUCUCUCUCUCUUCACCGUAAUGGAGCGAGUUGGCUCUUACUCCCCAGCCUGAGUCCAGGGAUCAGUCCAGGCGGCUGCUGUUAAUGAGUUCCCUCCUCCGCCAUGCGGAGGUUUCUGGCUCGGCCGAUACCUUGCUUCUGUCUUACCUGCCCGUGCCUUCUGGCAUGGGAAUCUGACGGGGAAUUGGAACACCGGUAUGGUGCCAUGGGACCAGCAGCAUGGAACCAGGAGCAUGGAACCAGGAGCAUGGAACCAGGAGCAUGGAACCAGGAGCAUGAAACCAGGAGCAUGGAACCAGCAGCAUGGAACCAGCAGCAUGGAACCAGGAGCAUGGAACCAGGAGCAUGAAACCAGGAGGCUGAAACCAGCAGCAUGAAACCAGGAGCAUGGAACCAACAGCAUGGAACCAGCAGCAUGGAACCAGCAGCAUGUCUCCGACACGCGCUGUAGCAGUGGCUGACAUGUUAUACCUAGGCCUGAUUCAAAUGUGUUAUAAUUUAGAGCAGCCAAUGUGUAAGUUAUGUUUUGAAUAUAUACAUAAGACAUGUCAUUAAAAUAUCUAGCAUUAGAGCAAAAUUCAAGCAACAACAUCAAAUUGUUGGCUCAAUCCCUCCAAGCUAAAGUGAUUUAUUUUAUAAUAAAUCACGUUCUAUAAGAAAGUCACUUGGAGUGUAGUUCAAAACAUCAGAUUUAAUCCAGACUAAAGUGGUUAGAAUGUGUCUGUGAUUUCUAAAAUGUACAAUCUACCAACUAAUCCCAAACUACUAGUACUGUAGUUUAAUUAAUGUGAUCAUCAUUAAGAAAGUUCUUAGAAGGAACUAUGUGAUGUAAAUCUUGUAAUUCUGUGUCUGCUAAAAGGUGCAAUAAUACUGGUCACAGUUAGGAAUACGUUGGUUAUUUGUUAUACUACAUAGUUUGACGAAUGAGCAAUUUGCCUCCCAGAGUUGAAUUGGCUGGGAUGGUUUUUCAUGUGUAAGGCAACAUCACUCUUGACUUCAACAUGGCUUUGCCAACUUUGUCAGACCAAAAGUAACAGAUACAUCCAUAGAUACAGUACCAGUCGGAAGUGUGCCCAAACUGGUACAGUAUGUACUGAUUGCUGUAGUGGUUAUGUACUAAGACAAUGCAUGGACACACUCUGUGCCCUGUGAGCAGUUAUCUGUUCCCACCUCAGGAUUACUGAUCAUUCUGGGAUACUGGUUUAGGUUCCCCCUUGGCUGGGAUUCACAGCAUACUGGGGACCAAGUCACCUGUUUAACAUCAGCAAUGGCGGCUGUUGUAUAGGGGCUCCUUUAUGGAUUGUGGAAAGGUUUUGACCAACGAUAUUAUCAUGAAACGAGGAAGAAUUUCUGGAGUGUACCUGAAUUACAGAGCGGAUUCAAGUGUUCUUUUUCACUUAUAGUAAACGUCUUUUGAGGAUUUCUGCACUCUCCUCUCAGUACUUAUAGCUAACAUUAUUGUGAUUGUAGUCAGGGAAAUGAAAUUGGCGUAAAAAUGAAUCUAUGAUGGGCUUAAAUGCCCAUUCAACAGUUCUCAGAAGUGAUUGCUGAUGACACCUUUGGAUCCAAAAUAACAGGACAAUUGAUACUGUUGCCAAGGAGCCGUCCACUUAUGCAAAUUUUUUUGUAUGGAUUUUAAAUUUGACUAACUAUUAUGGCACAUUUAGAGGAAAUCACAUGCUGUCAAUUCAAGGUUAUAUACAAUUUCUUUCUCCCACUUGGCUAAUUGUUUCCCUUCAGAGUCUCAUCAGCUUCCGUGUUUAGAUGCAGGAGAGGAGAAGAGUUUGAUGAUCCAUUGCUGCACAGAGGAGCCACGCAGGUACUCUGCAGCUGGAAUUCCAGGCACGACAGCGGAGAAACAAUGUAUAAGGUUGGCUUUUCAUCAAAAAAUGAUGCACUGUCUAUCACCUCAAAAUCUGGAACUGCACAUACUGCACACUCCUACAAAGAUGGGGGGGGGGGCAUAUUGUAUCCCACCGGACACUGCUUCUACACGGCUUGGUUGUCAUGGAACCAGAUGUGAAUAGAAAUGAACGCGUGUGGCGCAAAAUGCAUGCAGCACAGUUGAUUUUCACAAUAAUUAUCAGUGUGUCCGGAUUCUUGCAGAGAGUUGCUCCUCACAAAUACAGUUUUUACUAAAAUGAAGUCUCUUGAGCUCUCUCUAUACAAUAUGGAUGGCAGUAUAAUGAAAACAUAAGCUAGUGCUCCAUCUGGCCAAACUAAAGAUGAAUUAUUUAUAUUAUUCGCGACAUCUUUUAAAGAGAUGCACUGAUCCGACUGCCGAUCCAAAAUCUGUUUUAAUUAAGUUAUUCGCCUCACUGUUAUCAUUCUUAUAUGUGUAAAGAAACAUCUGGCUUUACUUAAAUACUUUCCUAAUACAAUUUAACAAAUAAAUGCAUAGACAAAAAUGAACUGAAUUCAUUUGGUUAAAAACUGCUUUUUGAUGCCAGACCUGACUGAUAGUCAUUAAUACGCAAACCAGCUAUUUGUGUCAGCACCAAACUGAUGACAGUAAAGACACGGCUGCACCGCAGAUUUGUUUCCCAAAUUAUGCUUAGAAAAGAGUUUAAUUCUAGCCUGGCUCGGGCUUUUAGGCUGAUUUAUUAGUCCAGCUGGGGACCUGGUUACGGAUGUUCAUUAACAGACCAACUGUUAUACCUUGGAAAGUUUAUCCCUAUUAAGUCAAGUUUGGUAGUUAGUAGUACGAAUCUGGGGGGAAACGCGAGCGAGAGUAUAAAAGAAAACUGGAAAGGAAAUCCAGUGGAAUGGAUAACAUUGAAGCCUGUAAAGCUAAGCUAAGCUAAGCUAACGUUAGCUAUACUUACUUGUAUGUUAAAACAUUUCCAAAGAAAUUGGAAUCUGUUUUGUUUUCUCUGAGUUGUAGCAGCAUGUAAGUUAUACACGCCUGUAAUGUUUGCUUCCUCAUGGAAAUCAUGUGACGCAGGCUGGUUGCUUCAUCUGCAGUGAGUGAUAUGUAAUUAUUUUCUACUUGUAUAUUUACAGUUUGACAUCGGCAAAGAUUGCGGUUUGAUUUUAAAACAUUUCUACUGUUAGUCACCUGCGUGCUGUUUGUGGCCGGAGAAAAGUGGGCCAGAAGCCCUUGUUCACUCCUUUCCUUCACACAUGAAGAUCCCUCUCCCCAAAGAGACAAUUAGAGGAAGAAACCUGUGUUGCCUUAGCAAGCAAAUAACAUUUCAGAGAUGUAAUAAGACAGAAGUGUGACUUAAGGCAAUAGAGGAAGCCACCACAGACACAUGUGGUUUUCUGAUUAAAGCUGCAACAGCUAUAAUAAUAUGACAAAUGGCGGUGGGAUUUUACACAAUCACAGUCAUUAUGUUCCUUUUUGGUCACGUAACCAUCUUUAACUUUAACAGCUGGGAACAGCUUGAAGUUAAAGUAUAAGAAGGAGCUGUCUCUGUGGGUUUUAUGUCCCAGAAAGAGAAAAGACUCUCCGCUGGUCCCAUGUGAAGCAAUUUGUUGAAGCAUAACAUGAACUACACAGCCGGGCUUGGGUGUCAUCCAUUGCAGACAAGUAAGCUCCCGAUUGAAAGGUCUGCAUAUAAAAAGCAUCGCUGAUUUGUCUAUUUCCUCUGAAAUGUUAUUCACAGCGAGGGGGAGGACACGCGAUGAAUCAUUACUAACAGCCGCAGUGUGCAGCAGACAAAAUGUGCAAUGGUCAGAGAAAGAAACCUCCUGUAUCUGGCACAAGAGAGAUGGCUCCUAUGAGUGAAUGAAAACUGUAUCACAGUGUUGAGCUUCUCUAUUUUUAGUCAUUUAACAUUUUUGUUUUGUUUCAAAUUAAAACAUAAACAUACAACUUAAACCGCAUGUUUAAAAUUCCAACUUUUUGUUGGUUACUGUUUAGUUGUGCAGAAAUGUCUUCACAGGGUUGCACAGUGGCAGCAUAAAAAUGAGAUUAGUGUUGUGAAGCGUUCAGACCAAAUUUCAUGGUUUGAUUAAGGAAGAGAUUCUUGGGGGGGAAAUUACGUUCCCUACGUAUCUUAAGUUAUCUUUAUGAGUUAGUCAGUCAAUGUAGAUUAGUAGAUGGUUGUAUGUUAACUUACUAUCUGUCCUCUAAAGAGACAAACAACCCGUCUAUUAAACCAUCUAUUAAAUGUGUUACAGACAACCCGUAACUAGUUCAUAUAAUAUAAUAUAUUUGUCUUUCCAUUUUAUCAAUUGUCCUCUUUUCAUGCCUUAUGUGAAGCACUUUGAAUGUCUGUACACAGUUAAGGUGAGUAAGUACAAUGAAAUAAAGAACAUGUUCCAUUAUGCGUCUGUGUAAUGGAGUGGUGAGAAAAAUAAAAGAAAGAAAACCACUGUGACCCCAACGGUAAAGUGGAGGAUAGCACAAGUCUUUGCCCUUCCUGUUUUGAAUUUAGCCCCGUUGAAUGAACGUAAUUAUGCAAAUGACAAUGGGAUCAUCAAAAGGCAGCUGUCUCAUUUCCUCCACAAAGUCAAAGUGAUUUGGUUGAUAUUUAGCACGUAGCCGUUCUCUAUGUCGAUGCUAAGCUAGGUCUGUUGUCUGCACACGUACACACACAGUAGCACUUUGUAAAGUGUGUUGGUAGAAAUCCAAAACCAUCCAGUGCAGAGCAGUAGACACACCGGAGCGUUUGAAGUGUUUUCGCUCUCGGCGGCUAGACAAGAGUUUACAGCGGGGAGCCAAAACAAGAAGGAGCAUUUGUUUGAAUUCUUCUUUAUCCUUCUGCUCCAUUUCAAACAAAUGAGGGCAACGAGACAUGAGAAAUGAGAAAAACGAGUCAGUCCAUCACAGGGCAAUUAUGGUGCAGAGCUUAAUUAGUCUAAUAAAGUCGAUUUUGCUGCCAACUGGUUUUGCCUGCUACAUUGUGGAGUAAAGUUCUUUGCAGAUGGUAUUCCACUGCAGCGUGAGUCCACUUACAGAGUGAAGCAUUCGUACAGAACAUGUGUCACCAUUUAGCCGACGAGUAAAAGGAGGAUGGAAGCAAAGGGAAACCGCUAGCUUGACUCUACAAAGAAAUGUGACUCCAGAACUUGAAGCUAUUUAGCUCACACGUCAUGUGUUGUUCAUCAAAAGUGCUAAAACUAACGCGGUGGUGGUAUCAAAGGCGGGACUGUAGUCGAUAUAUUCUGAUAUGUUUCAUCAGCAAUAGUUUUAUAUUUGCAGGAUAUUGGUUGCAUAAAGCCUUUAAUUGCUAGCGGUAUCCAACCUUAAUUCUGUUUUCUAGAUGGCAAGUUAGUGAAGUUCAAGAUCAAUCCGGGUUUCACUUCCAGUCCAAUUAGAUUAGAUUUUUUUGACUGAACGCAAUCUCAGGAUUCAGAACACUGAAAACAUUUCCUCAGCCCGUCCGUAUUUCUAACCAGAAUGAAUGAACCCAUCUCAUAUGCUGUGCAACACUCACCCAGGUGGUUCAAUAUCAGGAAGUUCAGAAUGUAACACUUGGUGUCCCACCGGAUUAGGCAGUAAUUACUUGAAAUGAAUACUUUAAUUAUGGAGCCGCUUCUGAUAACUGCAUAUUUGCCCUUGGUGUAGUUUGUAUUCCUGGAUCCUGAGCACAUUCUCCACAGAUCAUGAAACGGAAAUCUGCCCACGUGGCUUCCUUUCUAUUUC